GAUGAACGCUGGCGGCGUGCCUAAUACAUGCAAGUCGAGCGAACGGACGAGAAGCUUGCUCCUCUGAUGUUAGCGGCGGACGGGUGAGUAACACGUGGAUAACCUACCUAUAAGACUGGGAUAACUUCGGGAAACCGGAGCUAAUACCGGAUAAUAUUUUGAACCGCAUGGUUCAAAAGUGAAAGACGGUCUUGCUGUCACUUAUAGAUGGAUCCGCGCUGCAUUAGCUAGUUGGUAAGGUAACGGUUUACCAAGGCAACGAUGCAUAGCCGACCUGAGAGGGUGAUCGGCCACACUGGAACUGAGACACGGUCCAGACUCCUACGGGAGGCAGCAGUAGGGAAUCUUCCGCAAUGGGCGAAAGCCUGACGGAGCAACGCCGCGUGAGUGAUGAAGGUCUUCGGAUCGUAAAACUCUGUUAUUAGGGAAGAACAUAUGUGUAAGUAACUGUGCACAUCUUGACGGUACCUAAUCAGAAAGCCACGGCUAACUACGUG
rnacentral:rRNA from 1 species